rnacentral:rRNA from 1 species
AUUGAACGCUGGCGGCAUGCCUUACACAUGCAAGUCGAACGGUAACGGGCCUUCGGGUUCCGACGAUUGGCGAACGGGUGAGUAAUACAUCGGAACGUGCCCGAUCGUGGGGGAUAACGAGGCGAAAGCUUUGCUAAUACCGCAUACGAUCUACGGAUGAAAUCAGGGGACCGCAAGGCCUUGCGCGGACGGAGCGGCCUAUGGCCGAGUAGGUAGUUGGUGGGAUAAAAGCUUACCAAGCCGACGAUCUGUAGCUGGUGUGAGAGGAUGAUCAGCCACACUGGGACUGAGACACGGCCCAGACGCCUACGGGAGGCAGCAGUGGGGAAUUUUGGACAAUGGGCGCAAGCCUGAUCCAGCCAUGCCGCGUGCAGGAUGAAGGCCUUCGGGUUGUAAACUGCUUUUGUACGGAACGAAAAGCCUUCUUUUAAUACAGGAGGGUCAUGACGGUACCGGAAGAAUAAGCACCGGCUAACUACGUG